AUUGAACGCUGGCGGCAUGCCUUACACAUGCAAGUCGAACGGUAACGGGCCUUCGGGUGCCGACGAGUGGCGAACGGGGGAGUAAUACAUCGGAACGUGCCCGAUCGGGGGGGAUAACGAGGCGAAAGCUUUGCUAAUACCGCAUACGAUCUACGGAUGAAAGCAGGGGACCGCAAGGCCUUGCGCGGACGGAGCGGCCGAUGGCAGAUUAGGUAGUUGGUGGGAUAAAAGCUUACCAAGCCGACGAUCUGUAGCUGGUCUGAGAGGAUGAUCAGCCACACUGGGACUGAGACACGGCCCAGACUCCUACGGGAGGCAGCAGUGGGGAAUUUUGGACAAUGGGCGCAAGCCUGAUCCAGCCAUGCCGCGUGCAGGAUGAAGGCCUUCGGGUUGUAAACUGCUUUUGUACGGAACGAAAAGCCUUCUUUUAAUACAGGAGGGUCAUGACGGUACCGUAAGAAUAAGCACCGGCUAACUACGUG
rnacentral:rRNA from 1 species